GGACGGGUGGCUGAGGGGUUUAAGGCUCCGGUCUUGAAAACCGGCGUCCCUGCAAAGGGACCGUGAGUUCGAAUCUCACCCCGUCCG
rnacentral:tRNA from 1 species